rnacentral:rRNA from 1 species
CCUACGGGUGGCAGCAGUGAGGAAUAUUGGUCAAUGGCCGGAAGGCUGAACCAGCCAUGCCGCGUGAAGGUCAGUGCCCUAUGGGCGUUAAACUUCUUUUGUGCGGGAGCAAUAAUGGUCACGUGUGGCCAGACGAGAGUACCGUACGAAUAAGCAUCGGCUAACUCCGUGCCAGCAGCCGCGGUAAUACGGGGGAUGCAAGCGUUAUCCGGAUUUAUUGGGGUUAAAGGGGGCGUAGGCUGUGAGGUAAGUCAGCGGUGAAAUGCCCCCGCUCAACGGGGUGAAGUGCCAUUGAGACUGCCUUGCUGGAAUGCGGAUGCCGUGGGAGGAAUGUGUGGUGUAGCGGUGAAAUGCAUAGAUAUCACACAGAACACCGAUUGCGAAGGCAUCUCACGAAUCCGCGAUUGACGCUGAUGCACGAAAGCGUGGGUAUCAAACAGGAUUAGAUACCCCUGUAGUC